CUACGGGUGGCUGCAGUGAGGAAUAUUGCACAAUGGGGGGAACCCUGAUGCAGCAACGCCGCGUGGAGGAUGACGCAUUUCGGUGUGUAAACUCCUUUUAUAUGUCAAGAAAAUGACGGUAGCAUAUGAAUAAGCACCGGCUAACUCCGUGCCAGCAGCCGCGGGUAAUACGGAGGGUGCAAGCGUGACUCGGAAUCACUGGGCGUAAAGGACGCGUAGGCGGGUUGGAAAGUCAGGUGUGAAAUCCUACAGCUUAACUGUAGAACUGCACUUGAAACUUCUAAUCUAGAGUAUGGGAGGGGGAGAUGGAAUUAGUGGUGUAGGGGUAAAAUCCGUAGAUAUCACUAGGAAUACCUAAAGCGAAGGCGAUCUCCUGGAACAUUACUGACGCUAAGGCGUGAAAGCGUGGGGAGCAAACAGGAUUAGAUACCCUUGUAGUC
rnacentral:rRNA from 1 species